GUUUGAAUUAAAAAUCCAGAAAAACAGAUUCCUUGGGCUGGGAGUUGACACUAAAAAGUAAUGCUUGUGUUUUUUCAGCGCAAAGUCCACUCCGGGUCUUGCUAGGAAGCACCCAGAGUUUACACAGGUCAAGUUAAAAUACCCCCACACAUAGAAAAAGAUGUCUGUUCCAGCAGUGGUAAGAUGCCUAUACAGUUGAUGUUAUGCAUUUAGUAAGCGAAACAGAUUUACUGUUCUUCAAGAAUUUCACAAUCCGCUGUUCCUUUGGCUGUGAUCAACCUGCACCCAAUCUCAAACUCCAGUUUUCAUCAGACUCCAGAUCUUAUUCCAGUGAUGAAUAAAUAUUUUUCUCAACCUUUUAAAAUACUCUGCAUGUUUGGAUCUACUUGAGCUAAGGGCUUUACUGUGUGUGGAGUUACUGGACCUCCAUAUUCCAGGAAAAUAGCAUACUUCAGUCCUCAGUAGGAUAGUGGGCGCAGGCCAGGCUGCAGCAUUCUCACAAGAACCAAGGUGGUUUUUGGACAUUGCAUGUGUAAGAUGGAGAGGUUCUGAUGAGAGGAAUGAGUAACAAUGUCACAUCAGGGAAAAAGAAUCAAACAUUCAAUUAGAAGGAAACUGCUGGCGGAAAAACUGAGGUUCUGUUAGCCAACAUACAGAGUUUGGAUGCUAAGAAAAAUCAGAAUUCUGUGACCCUUGGAUAUAUGACCUCAAAAAAGAGAAGGAAAAGAACCUGAGAGGUGGAUAUGGACAACAAGCUUGUUAAGAAGGAUUACACAGAGGAGUCAGGAGAUGUACGUGGAGGGAAGUCAGGAGUACUUCAUGAACCCAAGGACCAGUCGGAAAGGCAAAAAAGCUCAGUGACCUUGCCUGAGAAGAAGCAGAUGAUGUUUAGAAGAAAGAAAAGAAAGAGAAGGUAGAUAUUUUCCAUAGGUCUGUUUGGCCUUUGUGACACAACAUGCUGGAGAAAAGGCACACUUGAAUAGUUUACCUUGAAGGCUGAGCAUCCUGAUUUAGCAAAUGCAGGCCCUGCAAAGCAGUAUGGGAUAAAACACCCAGUCAUUUCACUGCAGCAGUCACUGUGUUUCAUAGACGCUCUGCAAAGCAGGUCUCAUUCCAUAUACCUUCUUCCUUUGCCUCCUACCUGCCCAAGAGCCAGCACAGAUUGCCACAGUGUUAAUUCCAGCCAACUCCAGUGGAAAAUAAGGGCAUAUGACAAGAUUGCACAUAUGUUAAUGACUCAUGC
rnacentral:lncRNA from 1 species